rnacentral:rRNA from 1 species
GAUGAACGCUAGCGAUAGGCUUAACACAUGCAAGUCGAGGGGCAGCAUGGUCUUAGCUUGCUAAGGCUGAUGGCGACCGGCGCACGGGUGCGUAACGCGUAUGCAACUUGCCUCACAGAGGGGGAUAACCCGUCGAAAGACGGACUAAUACCGCGUACACUCUAUGUUGGGCAUCCAAUGUAGAGGAAAUGAAAUUCGCUGUGAGAUAGGCAUGCGUCCCAUUAGCUAGUUGGUGAGGUAACGGCUCACCAAGGCGACGAUGGGUAGGGGAACUGAGAGGUUGAACCCCCACACUGGUACUGAGGCACGGACCAGACUCCUACGGGAGGCAGCAGUGAGGAAUAUUGGUCAAUGGGCGAGAGCCUGAACCAGCCAAGUCGCGUGAAGGAUGACUGUCUUAUGGAUUGUAAACUUCUUUUAUACGGGAAUAACAAGAGUCACGUGUGGCUCCCUGCAUGUACCGUAUGAAUAAGCAUCGGCUAACUCCGUG